CUUACAGGGAGGACUGUUCUGCGGAGCGCUCCGAACGGACAAACCACAAUAAAAAGUUCACGUUCAUGGAUGGAAUCCACAUGACUUCUUGUGGCCAAUCCAACUUGAAGAGAGCUACAUCCUUCCCAGUGGGGAGCCCAGGCAGCCCCCCACUCCACCCUAGACGGGAACAGGAGACACACGCCGCUGGAAACCUCCUAGCCAAGCCUGACCUGGCCGUGUUCUGACGAGCGGAGAGGGUUUAGACCCAUACUGGGCAGCCCUGCGGAGGCAGCAGGAGGGGUGAGAGUUGGGGGCGGCCUCCAGGACCCCCAAAGAGCCCGUCAUCCUCAGGCUCCUUUCUCAGAGAAAAUGACAUUUUUCCUUCUCCAAGACUAUCCCUGGUGUCAAGUCUCCUCAAUUCCUAGGUUCAGAGGGCAGCUUAUUCCCAAUCUUUUUAGAAUUGAAAAUAAAAUGAAGGUCCAAGA